GCCGGCGUGGCGGAAUGGCUAACGCGCUCGUCUCGAAAACGAGUGUCCUCUGGACAUGCAGGUUCGACUCCUGCCGCCGGCG
rnacentral:tRNA from 1 species